AUGAGCGCUGGCGGCGUGUCUAAGGCAUGCAAGUCGUACGGACGUCAUUGGUAGCAAUACUGGCGACGUUAGUGGCAAACGGGUGCGCAACACAUUGGUAACCUGCCCCGCAUAGGGGGAUAACACACCGAAAGGUGUGCUAAUACCCCGUACUAUCCCGCGGCAUAUGUCGCGGGAUGAGAGGCUGAGGCCGAUGCGGGAGGGGCCUAUGUCCUAUCAGCUAGUUGGUGAGGUAAUGGCUCACCAAGGCUUUGACGGGUAGGGGGCGUGAGAGCGCGACCCCCCUCACUGGGACUGAGACACUGCCCAGACUCCUACGGGAGGCUGCAGUCGAGAAUAUUCCUCAAUGGCCGAAAGGCUGAAGGAGCGACGCCGCGUGCAGGAAGACGGCCUUCGGGUUGUAAACUGCUUUUUUCGGGGACGAACACUGACGGUACCCGGAGAAUAAGAGGUUGCUAACUCUGU
rnacentral:rRNA from 1 species